UACGUAGGGUGCAAGCGUUGUCCGGAAUUAUUGGGCGUAAAGGGUGCGUAGGCGGUCUGACAAGUCUGAUGUGAAAUCUAUGGGCUCAACCCAUAGUCUGCAUCGGAAACUGUCGGGCUUGAGUAUGGGAGAGGUGAGUGGAAUUUCCGGUGUAGCGGUGAAAUGCGUAGAUAUCGGAAGGAACACCUGUGGCGAAAGCGGCUCACUGGACCAUAACUGACGCUGAUGCACGAAAGCUGGGGGAGCAAACAGG
rnacentral:rRNA from 1 species